rnacentral:rRNA from 1 species
CGGAGAGUUUGAUCCUGGCUCAGGAUGAACGCUGGCGGCGUGCUUGAUACAUGCAAGUCGAACGGUUGAGCGGUGGGCGGAGGACCUGGAAGACGUGGAAUAUGAGAAAUCGUAGGAAGCGUUGGAAGGGGAAGAAGCUCUGAGCUUGACAGUGGCGGACGGGUGAGUAACACGUAGGAAUCUGCCCCGAGGUGGGGAAUAACUGACCGAAAGGUCAGCUAAUUCCGCAUAAGAUCCGUAAGGAUGAAAGGCGCGAGUCGCCUUGGGAUGAGCCUGCGGCCGAUUAGCUAGUUGGUGGG